rnacentral:rRNA from 1 species
UACGGGGGGGGCUAGCGUUGUUCGGAAUUACUGGGCGUAAAGGGCGCGUAGGCGGUCUGCUAAGUUGGAUGUGAAAACUCUGGGCUUAACCCAGAGCCUGCAUUCAAUACUGACAGGCUAGAGUUCUGGAGGGGAUAGCGGAAUUCCUGGUGUAGCGGUGAAAUGCGUAGAUAUCGUUUGGAACGCCAAAGGUGAAAACAGACAGCUGGGAGUGUGCUGACGCUGAGACACGAAAGCCAGGGGAGCGAACGGG